rnacentral:tRNA from 1 species
GCCGCUUUAGCUCAGCUGGUAGAGCCUUCCAUGGUAGGGAGAAGAGGUCGCCAGUUCAAGCCGGCAAGUGGCU